rnacentral:rRNA from 1 species
UACGUAGGGUGCAAGCGUUGUCCGGAAUUAUUGGGCGUAAAGGGCUCGUAGGCGGUCCAUCGCGUCGGGAGUGAAAAGCUGGGGCUCAACCCCAGUCCUGCUUCCGAUACGGGUGGACUAGAGGUAUGCAGGGGAGAACGGAAUUCCUGGUGUAGCGGUGAAAUGCGCAGAUAUCAGGAGGAACACCGGUGGCGAAGGCGGUUCUCUGGGCAUUACCUGACGCUGAGACGCGAAAGCGUGGGGAGCAAACAGG